AGUCAAGAAGCGAAGUAGUUGCGUAUGGUUUCGGCCCGUAAAUUUGGUGAAUUUAUCCCCUUGUCUA
rnacentral:tRNA from 1 species